GAACGUACGCUGGCGGCACGCCUAACACAUGCAAGUCGAACGAAGUAGCAAUACUUAGUGGCAGACGGGUGAGUAACAUGUAGGUAUCUGCCCUUUGGCCUGGAAUAACACGAGGAAACUUGUGCUAAUACCGGAUAAGUCUUUACGGAGAAAGCUUUAUGCACCAUUGGAUGAGCCUGCACUUGAUUAGUUUGUUGGUAGGGUAAUGGCCUACCAAGACUGUGAUCAAUAGCUGAUUUGAGAGGAUGAUCAGCCACAUUGGGACUGAGACACGGCCCAAACUCCUACGGGAGGCAGCAGUGGGGAAUCUUGCACAAUGGAGGAAACUCUGAUGCAGCGAUGCCGCGUGAGUGAAGAAGGCCUUUGGGUUGUAAAGCUCUUUCGUCGGGGAAGAAAAUGACUGUACCCGAAUAAGAAGGUCCGGCUAACUUCGUGCCAGCAGCCGCGGUAAUACGAAGGGACCUAGCGUAGUUCGGAAUUACUGGGCUUAAAGAGUUCGUAGGUGGUUGAAAAAGUUGGUGGUGAAAUCCCAGAGCUUAACUCUGGAACUGCCAUCAAAACUUUUCAGCUAGAGUUUGAUAGAGGAAAGCAGAAUUUCUAGUGUAGAGGUGAAAUUCGUAGAUAUUAGAAAGAAUACCAAUUGCGAAGGCAGCUUUCUGGAUCAUUACUGACACUGAGGAACGAAAGCAUGGGUAGCGAAGAGGAUUAGAUACCCUCGUAGUCCAUGCCGUAAACGAUGUGUGUUAGACGUUGGAAAUUUAUUUUCAGUGUCGCAGCGAAAGCGAUAAACACACCGCCUGGGGAGUACGACCGCAAGGUUAAAACUCAAAUGAAUUGACGGGGACCCGCACAAGUAGUGGAGCAUGUGGUUUAAUUCGAAGAUACGCGCAGAACCUUACCAACACUUGACAUGUUCGUCGCGACUCUAAGAGAUUAGAGUUUUCGGUUCGGCCGGACGAAACACAGGUGCUGCAUGGCUGUCGUCAGCUCGUGUCGUGAGAUGUUGGGUUAAGUCCCGCAACGAGCGCAACCCUCACUUUUAGUUGCCAUCAUUAAGUUGGGCACUCUGAAAGAACUGCCAGUGAUAAGCUGGAGGAAGGUGGGGAUGACGUCAAGUCCUCAUGGCCCUUACGUGUUGGGCUACACACGUGCUACAAUGGUAUCUACAACAGGAAGCAAGACUGCGAAGUUAAGCAAAUCCCUAAAAGAUACCUCAGUUCGGAUUGCACUCUGCAACUCGAGUGCAUGAAGCUGGAAUUACUAGUAAUCGUGGAUCAGCGUGCCACGGUGAAUGCGUUCCCGGGUCUUGUACUCAC
rnacentral:rRNA from 1 species